AGAGCGAACGCUGGCGGCAUGCUUAACACAUGCAAGUCGCACGAACGGUUUCGGCUGUUAGUGGCGGACGGGUGAGUAUCGCGUAGGGAUUUAUCGUUGGGUGGGGGAUAACCUUGGGAAACUGGGGCUAAUACCGCAUGACGCCUGAGGGCCAAAGUUGAGGCGCCUGACGAGAAGCCUGCGUCCGAUUAGGUAGUUGGUUGGGUAAUGGCUGACCAAGCCUGCGAUCGGUAGCUGGUCUGAGAGGAUGAUCAGCCACACUGGGACUGAGGCACGGCCCAGACUCCUACGGGAGGCAGCAGUGGGGAAUAUUGGACAAUGGGCGCAAGCCUGAUCCAGCAAUGCCGCGUGGAUGAAGAAGGUUUUCGGAUUGUAAAGUCCUUUCGGCGGGGACGAUGAUGACGGUACCCGCAGAAGAAGCCCCGGCUAACUUCGUGCCAGCAGCCGC
rnacentral:rRNA from 1 species